CGUUCCGGGUUGUCUUUCCCAUGCCAAGUUCGAACGGUCUCUUCGGAGAUAGUGGCGGACGGGUGAGUAACGCGUGAGAAUCUAGCUUCAGGUCGGGGACAACCACUGGAAACGGUGGCUAAUACCGGAUGUGCCGAAAGGUGAAAGAUUUAUUGCCUGAAGAUGAGCUCGCGUCUGAUUAGCUAGUUGGUGUGGUAAGAGCGCACCAAGGCGACGAUCAGUAGCUGGUCUGAGAGGAUGAUCAGCCACACUGGGACUGAGACACGGCCCAGACUCCUACGGGAGGCAGCAGUGGGGAAUUUUCCGCAAUGGGCGAAAGCCUGACGGAGCAAUACCGCGUGAGGGAGGAAGGCUCUUGGGUUGUAAACCUCUUUUCUCAGGGAAUAAAAAAAUGAAGGUACCUGAGGAAUAAGCAUCGGCUAACUCCGUGCCAGCAGCCGCGGUAAUACGGAGGAUGCAAGCGUUAUCCGGAAUGAUUGGGCGUAAAGCGUCCGCAGGUGGCACUGUAAGUCUGCUGUUAAAGAGCAAGGCUCAACCUUGUAAAGGCAGUGGAAACUACAGAGCUAGAGUACGUUCGGGGCAGAGGGAAUUCCUGGUGUAGCGGUGACAUGCGAAAA
rnacentral:rRNA from 1 species